AUUGAACGCUGGCGGCAGGCUUAACACAUGCAAGUCGAACGAGUGGCGGACGGGUGAGUAAUACUUGGGAAUCUGGCUUAUGGAGGGGGAUAACUACGGGAAACUGUAGCUAAUACCGCGUACCAUAGGAUGGGCCGAAGUGGGAUUAGGUAGUUGGUGAGGUAAAGGCUCACCAAGCCGACGAUCCCUAGCUGGUCUGAGAGGAUGACCAGCCACACUGGGACUGAGACACGGCCCAGACUCCUACGGGAGGCAGCAGUGGGGAAUAUUGCGCAAUGGGGGCAACCUGAUGCAGCCAUGCCGCGUGAAUGAAGAAGGCCUGCGGGUUGUAAAGUACUUUCGGUAGAGAAGCGUUAACUACAGAAGAAGCACCGGCUAACUCCGUGCCAGCAGCCGCGGUAAUUC
rnacentral:rRNA from 1 species